rnacentral:rRNA from 1 species
GACGUAGGGCGCGAGCGUUGUCCGGAUUUAUUGGGCGUAAAGAGCUCGUAGGCGGCUUGUCGCGUCGACUGUGAAAACCCGCGGCUCAACUGCGGGCCUGCAGUCGAUACGGGCAGGCUAGAGUUCGGUAGGGGAGACUGGAUUUCCUGGUGUAGCGGUGAAAUGCGCAGAUAUCAGGAGGAACACCGGUGGCGAAGGCGGGUCUCUGGGCCGAUACUGACGCUGUAGAGCGAAAGCGUGGGGAGCGAACAGG